rnacentral:rRNA from 1 species
UACGGGGGGGGCAAGCGUUGUUCGGAAUUACUGGGCGUAAAGGCUCGUAGGCGGCCAACUAAGUCGGACGUGAAGAUCCCCAGGCUCAACCUGGGAACUGCGUCCGAUACUGGAUGGCUUGAAUUCGGGAGAGGGAUGCAGAAUUCCAGGUGUAGCGGUGAAAUGCGUAGAUAUCUGGAGGAAUACCGGUGGCGAAGGCGGCAUCCUGGACCGACAUUGACGCUGAUGAGCGAAAGCUAGGGGAGCAACGGGG